GCGUUCGUGCUGUAAGGCUAGCAUCGCUGUCCUGAAAGCAGAAGGUGCGGGUUCGAGUCCCGCCUGGCGCA
rnacentral:tRNA from 1 species